AGCCUUUUAUAUGCGUGCUGAGAUUUUGUCAGCCAUCAGUUCAUCAGGUCUGAUUAGACUUUCCGAAUAAGCGAGGUG
rnacentral:pre_miRNA from 1 species